UUACUUCUGUAUGUUGAAACUCUAUUAGCAUGUGAUAUUAAUGAAAAAAUAAAACAUACAGCAAAAAGGUAAUAAAACUAAAACAUUUUUACUAAAACAGAAGAAAGAAAGAUCAGAUACUUAGUAAUUCGGCCACCUCAAAAGACUUAGCAAUCACCUGAGGAUUAUCAAGCAAGAUCCAAAUUAUACUAAGGUCCAUAAAACAUAAAAAGCAUCCUACAAAUCUAUGAGAAGUCUGUGAACCUCAUAGAAUACAUAAAGAAAAUAAUCUUUCAAUUGCACGUUUGGUUACCAUGUGCAUAUGAAAACAGAUAAACAAAAUAAAAUUAUUCACCCACAUAUGUCCGUAGUUCCAAAUACACAAAAUUCCAGAAGAAACUUGCUAGUUAGAAACCUGCAAAAUAAUGUGAUAGCAGUUUCCAUCCUGAGUAGCAGAAACUAAAGGUAAAGUUAUAAAACAAUGAAAGUGGUGCUACUCCACAAAAUUAAGGAUACCAAAUGGUCAUAUUUUUUUCUUUCAGUCACUACAACUAAGCUGCAUGAGAGAAAAGUGAAAUGCUUAAAUUACCAUGGUUCUGUAUGAUGUAGAUCCAGAGACCUUACUCUCUCAAACCUUUGAGCAAAUUCUUUCUGAUCCAAAAAAAUAACAUGUAAACACAGUUUAAAACCAUAGUGAAUGAUCUAAAGGAAAUCUCCAAAAUACAUACAUGGAUAUAGUAAAACAAUACAUUGAUCUCAAGUCUGGGAAGCUGUUUUACCAAAAAGAAAGAAACCCGUAGUCUG
rnacentral:lncRNA from 1 species